UCUUUCCUCCCCUAUAGUUUCUGGUACCCAUUGAAGGACAGCUGAGACACCCGACUUACUCUGGAGCUAGCAGAUGAAACCCUGGGACAACUGACAAAAGCCAGCAAAAGAUAAGGAUUCUUAUCAAGGAAGAAGUUGUACUCUGAAGUUUCCUUAUCUGCCUAAAAUCUGGACACACCAAAGAAGAAAACAAUCACCCCUGAUCCCUUCCCUGAGUUUUCAUUAACUCAACUCAUAUUGCAGGAAGAAAGACUGAAGUCCUUCAACGCACCUGAGAAGACUUUUGUCACAAACCAUUGUCUGCUUGGUGGGCUCAACAGACUUUGUCCCGGGCCAUUAUAUGUCCAGACUGCUUUGAAGAAUUGAGGUUGACUUUAUUGAACUGAUGAAAAGCCCUUUGGAAAGGCUGACCUGGUACUUUAUCUACAUGGUUCCUUUUCAAUGUUUCUGACCUUGUGAUAUUAAUUAACGAAGAACAUAUUGCGUGCCAGGAAAUACUCUACAUGUUGGAGACAUAUCAAAAAGUCCAUAUAUUCUGGGAAUGCUUUACUAGCACUAUUGCAUUUUAUUAUACAAUCACCUUUGUUAGGAGCUGAAUUGUGUCUCCCUAACCCAUUAAUAUGCUGAAGUCCUAACCCCUACUACCUCAGAAUGUCACUAUACUUGAAAAUAGGAUUUUUGAGGGGGUGAUUAUGGUUAAAUGAGGUCAUAGGAACACCAAUCCAAUAUGACUGGUGUUGUUAUAAGGAGAGGAGAGAUGAGGCCACCGAACACGCAGAGGGAAGACCAUGUAAAGAAGACUCAGAGAGAAGACAGCUGUCUACCAGCUGGGAGGGAGGCCUCAGGAGGAACUAACCUGUGAACACUUUGGUCUUGGCCUUCUAUCUUUCAGAACUGUGAGAAAAUAAAUUUGUUGUUUACACCACCCACU
rnacentral:lncRNA from 10 species